rnacentral:rRNA from 1 species
UACGUAGGGGGCAAGCGUUGUCCGGAAUCAUUGGACGUAAAGAGCGCGUAGGCGGCCCGAUAAGUCCGCUGUGAAAGUCAAGGGCUCAACCCUUGAAUGCCGGUGGAUACUGUCGGGCUAGAGUCCGGAAGAGGCGAGUGGAAUUCCUGGUGUAGCGGUGAAAUGCGCAGAUAUCAGGAGGAACACCGGUGGCGAAGGCGGAUCUCUGGGCCAUUACUGACGCUGAGGAGCGAAAGCGUGGGGAGCGAACAGG